rnacentral:rRNA from 1 species
ACCUGAGGAAUCAGCAUCGGCUAACUCCGUGCCAGCAGCCGCGGUAAGACGGAGGAUGCAAGCGUUAUCCGGAAUUAUUGGGCGUAAAGCGUCCGUAGGCGGUGAAUCAAGUCUGUUGUCAAAGGCUGCAGCUCAACUGCGGAACGGCAAUGGAAACUGUUUUACUAGAGUGCGGUAGGGGUAGAGGGAAUUCCCAGUGUAGCGGUGAAAUGCGUAGAUAUUGGGAAGAACACCAGUGGCGAAGGCGCUCUACUGGGCCGCAACUGACGCUGAGGGACGAAAGCUAGGGGAGCGAAAGGGAUUAGAUACCCCUGUAGUCCUAGCUGUAAACGAUGGACACUAGGUGUUGAGCGUAUCGACCCGUUCAGUACCGCAGCUAACGCGUUAAGUGUCCCGCCUGGGGAGUACGCACGCAAGUGUGAAACUCAAAGGAAUUGACGGGGGCCCGCACAAGCGGUGGAGUAUGUGGUUUAAUUCGAUGCAACGCGAAGAACCUUACCAGGGCUUGACAUCCCGCGAAUCUUUUUGAAAAGAGAGAGUGCCUUCGGGAGCGCGGAGACAGGUGGUGCAUGGCUGUCGUCAGCUCGUGUCGUGAGAUGUUGGGUUAAGUCCCGCAACGAGCGCAACCCUCGUCCUUAGUUGCCAGCAUUAAGUUGGGCACUCUGGGGAGACUGCCGGGGACAACUCGGAGGAAGGUGGGGAUGACGUCAAGUCAUCAUGCCCCUUACGUUCUGGGCUACACACGUACUACAAUGCUACGGACAAAGGGCAGCCAGACCGCGAGGUUGAGCUAAUCCCAGAAACCGUGGCACAGUUCAGAUUGCAGGCUGCAACUCGCCUGCAUGAAGGCGGAA